rnacentral:rRNA from 1 species
UACAGAGGUCUCAACCGUUGUUCGGAUUCAUUGGGCGUAAAGGGUGCGUAGGCGGUCGCGCAAGUCGGAUGUGAAAUCUCAGGGCUCAACCCUGAAACUGCAUUCGAUACUGCGUGGCUAGGGUACUGGAGAUGAGACUGGAAUUUACGGUGUAGCAGUGAAAUGCUUAGAUAUCGUAAGGAAGACCAGUGGCGAAGGCGAGUCUCUGGACAGUUACCGACGCUGAGGCACGAAGGCCAGGGGAGCAAACGGG